rnacentral:rRNA from 1 species
UGAGCAACCUACCGAAAUGAGGGGGAUAGCCGGCCCAACGGCCGGGUAAUACCGCAUACGCUCGAGACCAGGCAUUUGGACUCGAGGAAACCUCCGGGGCAUUUCGAGGGGCUCGCGGCCUAUCAGCUUGUUGGUGGGGUAAUGGCCUACCAAGGCGACGACGGGUAGCCGGCCUGAGAGGGCGACCGGCCACACUGGGACUGAGACACGGCCCAGACUCCUACGGGAGGCAG